ACACAUGCAAGUCAAACUCACUUCUUUUCAUCGGAGCUUGCUCCUCCGAAAAGAAGUGAGUGAAAAAAAAAGUGAGUAACACGUGGGCAACCUGCCCUCCAGAGGGGGAUAACACUUGGAAACAGGUGCUAAUGCCACAUAAUUGCUUGUGCCGCAUGGUGAAAGUAGGGAAGACGCUUCAAUGUCACUGGUGGAUGGGCCCGCGGUGCAUGAGUUAGUUGGUGGGGUAACGGCCUACCAAGACCAUGAUGCAUAGCCGACCUGAGAGGGUGAUCGUCCACACUGGUAGGGAGACACGGCCCAGACUCCUACGGGAGGCAGCAGUAGGGAAUCUUCGGCAAU
rnacentral:rRNA from 1 species